UACAGAGGGGGCAAGCGUUAUUCGGAAUUAUUGGGCGUAAAGGGCGCGUAGGCGGCUUUGCAAGUGACGGGUGAAAGCCCUCGGCUUAACCGAGGAACUGCCUGUCAGACUGUGAGGCUUGAGACCGGGAGAGGUGAGUGGAAUUCCCAGUGUAGCGGUGAAAUGCGUAGAUAUUGGGAGGAACACCAGUGGCGAAGGCGGCUCACUGGACCGGAACUGACGCUGACGGCGCGGAAAGCGUGGGGAGCAAACAGGG
rnacentral:rRNA from 1 species